rnacentral:rRNA from 1 species
UAGGUUAACGAGGCGAACCGGGGGAACUGAAACAUCUAAGUACCCCGAGGAAAAGAAAUCAACCGAGAUUCCCCCAGUAGCGGCGAGCGAACGGGGAGCAGCCCAGAGUCUGAAUCAGCUUGUGUGUUAGUGGAACGGUCUGGAAAGUCCGACGGUACAGGGUGAUAGUCCCGUACACCAAAAUGCACAGGCUGUGAACUCGAAGAGUAGGGCGGGACACGUGGUAUCCUGUCUGAAUAUGGGGGGACCAUCCUCCAAGGCUAAAUACUCCUGACUGACCGAUAGUGAACCAGUACCGUGAGGGAAAGGCGAAAAGAACCCCGGCGAGGGGAGUGAAAAAGAACCUGAAACCGUGUACGUACAAGCAGUGGGAGCACCUUCGGGUGUGACUGCGUACCUUUUGUAUAAUGGGUCAGCGACUUAUAUUCUGUAGCAAGGUUAACCGUAUAGGGGAGCCGCAGGGAAACCGAGUCUUAACUGGGCGUUAAGUUGCAGGGUAUAGACCCGAAACCCGGUGAUCUAGCCAUGGGCAGGUUGAAGGUUGGGUAACACUAACUGGAGGACCGAACCGACUAAUGUUGAAAAAUUAGCGGAUGACUUGUGGCUGGGGGUGAAAGGCCAAUCAAACCGGGAGAUAGCUGGUUCUCCCCGAAAGCUAUUUAGGUAGCGCCUCGUGAACUCAUCUUCGGGGGUAGAGCACUGUUUCGGCUAGGGGGUCAUCCCGACUUACCAACCCGAUGCAAACUACGAAUACCGAAGAAUGUUAUCACGGGAGACACACGGCGGGUGCUAACGUCCGUCGUGAAGAGGGAAACAACCCAGACCGCCAGCUAAGGUCCCAAAGUCACAGUUAAGUGGGAAACGAUGUGGGAAGGCACAGACAGCCAGGAUGUUGGCUUAGAAGCAGCCAUCAUUU